rnacentral:tmRNA from 1 species
UCGCUUGGAUUUUAACAAAAACAAACCUAUAUAGAGUGUGUCGGCUUGCCGACUAUGACGAUAAAUUGCCUGUGCAAUAAACCAUUCGGACCCGGGGGCGGUACCCGGCGCCUCCACCAAAAACAAUUGGCUCAUAUAGGYUUAAACCUYUUAUGUAGUUUCACAAUUGCUUUUGAUGGGGGCGAAAUAGGAUCGACGAGGGUGUAAAGACAGAGUUUUCGUUCGGCAUGGUACCCACCGAUAUCGGGCCAUAUUUUAGUUGCAAAUGACAACUAUGCGGAGGCACGUCUAGCUGCUUAAUUGCGGUUCGACAGCUUCACAGAACUCCUAACGGUUCGCACUGUUAGGCGGGGUUCGAAGGCACCUGGCAACAGAAGCCUUCACU